UUUCAUGGUCCCAUGCUCUCCUGACAGUGGACAAGUGGCGGCCAGUGGACACCUGCGAGGUCAACCUGAAAAACAUAUGAUACUAUCCCUGGCCCACUAAACCAAGCAACCUCCUUUUACAAUGCAACGCGAAAUUAAUAAUAGAUUCAUAGUGACGCAUUGUGGACUCCAGGGCACAAGGCAUGAGGGUGUUCGGAGAACAUUUUCCUGUGCAGUAUCAUCCAGUUUAUACAAGGUCAAACUUUGAGAGAAAAGGCAAAAAAAGUACCACGGCAUGCUCCACCUGUGUAUGCACCAGUGCCACUGGACAUGCAGCUUAUUUGUCCACUACACAACAGUUUACUUGUUCAGUGGAUUGUGAGGAUAGUUUAUCAACACGUUGUGGUUGAGUUAAAGCGCUUGGCUUCUUCACAGCACAUUACUAAAUAAUGUUGAUUGACAGAAGAAAAUAAAUAAACACAUGCAAUAUUAAUCUCCCUCAGAAUCUUUUUUUUUUUUUUUUUUAUGAGAAGUUUGGCUGUUUUGUAGAGAACUCCCGAUCAUGAGUCACACUCACAGCAUGCCUACGCAAGGAAACCAAUCCACUUCCUGCUUUGCUUUCAUCUUGGAGGGAUCCCAUCUCAAUUUUUUUCCUGCCUCCGGCUGAGCAGUUUUCCUGUUCUGACUAAUGGCACAUUGGAUUCAGUGUAAAACAUGAAUGUAAUGUUUCCCUGAAGUCACAACGUGAGUUUUUUCGCUAUCCAGCUAAUUGUAGCACUGCAGAAAGUAAACCAGAAACUUUUAUUUUCAUAUUCAUGAGUAUAAUUCUCACAAACUCAGAUCUCUGUAGAAAUCAAGACC